UUUUUUAACAAAAUCCAGAUGGAGAGAAGGGAGAAAUAUAUGUAUAUAUUCCAAGACUGAAACAAAAGACUUCAAGCAGUGACUUUUUCACUCAUGAAUUUACCAUGCUUGGAUUUAAUGCAGACCCAGUAGAGCCCCUCAUUCUCCCCCCUCCUGCCUCCUUAGAGCAGACCUUUUCACCCCCCUCUGGAUCUGCAGGAGGCACCAGGUCUGGUUACUCUCCUGACCGCUAACUGAAGGCGGCUCUUUAAAUCCUACUGAUGGGAAAGUCAUCAGCUCCAAAACUCAGAGCUGAAUGGCCCCUGAGCAGCCUAGAUCAUGUCCUAAAAUCUUGUGACCCAGAAAGGUCCUGAGAGCAAAGCAAUGAUAAUGAAACUGGAUGAAUAUUAAGCAUUUUCUAACCAACAGCUUCCACUGGAUGAUGUGGCCCAGAUUAAAGGUGGAUCUUCCCACCUCAAAAGAUCCGGAUUAAAGGCUUCCACUGAAAUCAGAUAUGCUGAAAUCAGAAGGAGAAUGUCUUGGAAUAGCUUUGAUGAGCCAUUCAGCACAGAGGAUCCUGGAGAACUCUGCGGGAACUGGUGUAGAAGAGCAGGGCUGGAUGGGCUGGGAGAAAAAGAGGGUCUGUCCUCACUCAGGCUGUAUCUGUAACUGUGGGUGGUGCUGUACACAAAAUGUCGUGACCUCAUCCUCAGUGUCAUAGUAUUUGGAAAAGAGAUAUUUAAAAAGAUGGUUAGGUCCUGAGGGUUGAACCCUCAUGAGUCCAAGCUCCAAGUGGUCUCUCCUCCUUCUCUCUUCCUUCCUUCCUUCCCUCCCUCCCUUCCAUCCUUCCUCCCUUUCCCAUCACCCUUCCUUCCCACUGACAUUCCCUCGCUCACCAAACCUAUUGGAAGCAAUUACUUCACCAGACUCCCUGUACCCACCGGACAAGAGUUUCUGCUUGACCUUGACUGAAUCAAGUUUCCACCCAGGAAGUUAUCUCACACUCACCAUGAUGGGGGUGCAGAAGAUGGGGGGGCUGCACAGCAUCAUUAUCCACAGGCUCUACAGGCCAGGCUGGUGGCUUUUCUCAAAGGAACCGCAAGAAUUGGUUGUAGGGAAAACUAACAACCAUUAUCCAGCAGAGUACAGGGAAAGAAGAGUCAACCUAAACACAGACAUUUCCCCCACUAUACGCAUUUUCAGCUGAAAGUGGAUCUAGAACCAGGUGAAAAUACAGAAGUAAGAGAGAAAGAAAGCGGGACUAUGGUUUACAAAGAGUUAUCAGACUGUAAGGGUCAAGAGUUGGUGCUUCCGGUGUGAUGCUAUAGUCCUGAAUGCAGGUGGCGUAGUCACUAGUUUAACACAGCAAGGAAUUGUGAGGAUAGUUGCGACGGCUUGAGUCUGAACUGACCUUCACAGACUCUAGCAUUUGAACUCCUGGUCCCCAGCUGAUGGGAAUGUUUUAUUUGGGAGGUCAUGAAAUGUUUAGAAAGUAGAAUUUAGCUGGAAGAAGUGGGUCACCUCACACGGGGUGUGUCUUAUUCUUAACUUCCUGUCCUGCUCUGUUUCCUGAUCUGGCCACCAAGUGAGCAGCUCAGAGCUGUUCACACCCCUGUGCCUUGCUUGCCUCAAUGAAUGGGAAUUCUCAGAAGCCAUGAACCAAAAUAAAUUUUUCCUCCUUAAGUCGUUUCUGUCUGGUAUUUCAUCACAGCAAUGAAAACAAA